rnacentral:rRNA from 1 species
UACGUAGGCAGCAAGCGUUGUUCGGAGUUACUGGGCGUAAAGGGUGCGUAGGCGGCUUUUUAAGUUUGGUGUGAAAUCUCCCGGCUCAACUGGGAGGGUGCGCCGAAUACUGAGAGGCUAGAGUGUGGGAGAGGAAAGUGGAAUUCCUGGUGUAGCGGUGAAAUGCGUAGAUAUCAGGAGGAACACCUGCGGUGUAGACGGCUUUCUGGACCAUUGCUGACGCUGAGACACGAAAGCGUGGGUAGCAAACAGG